rnacentral:tRNA from 1 species
AGGGGAUUAGCCAAGAGGCCAGGCACCGGAAUUUGAAUCCGGCAUACCAAGGUUCGAAUCCUUGAUCCCCUUCCA